UGGAAGUAAAAGUCGUAACAAGGUCUCCGUUGGUGAACCAGCGGAGGGAUCAUUACUGAGUUUACGCUCUACAACCCUUUGUGAACAUACCUAUAACUGUUGCUUCGGCGGGUAGGGUCUCCGUGACCCUCCCGGCCUCCCGCCCCCGGGCGGGUCGGCGCCCGCCGGAGGAUAACCAAACUCUGAUUUAACGACGUUUCUUCUGAGUGGUACAAGCAAAUAAUCAAAACUUUUAACAACGGAUCUCUUGGUUCUGGCAUCGAUGAAGAACGCAGCGAAAUGCGAUAAGUAAUGUGAAUUGCAGAAUUCAGUGAAUCAUCGAAUCUUUGAACGCACAUUGCGCCCGCCAGCAUUCUGGCGGGCAUGCCUGUUCGAGCGUCAUUUCAACCCUCAAGCUCUGCUUGGUGUUGGGGCCCUACAGCUGAUGUAGGCCCUCAAAGGUAGUGGCGGACCCUCCCGGAGCCUCCUUUGCGUAGUAACUUUACGUCUCGCACUGGGAUCCGGAGGGACUCUUGCCGUAAAACCCCCAAUUUUCCAAAGGUUGACCUCGGAUCAGG
rnacentral:rRNA from 1 species